AUUGAACGCUGGCGGCAGGCCUAACACAUGCAAGUCGAGCGGAUGAAGGGAGCUUGCUCCUGGAUUCAGCGGCGGACGGGUGAGUAAUGCCUAGGAAUCUGCCUGGUAGUGGGGGAUAACGUCCGGAAACGGGCGCUAAUACCGCAUACGUCCUGAGGGAGAAAGUGGGGGAUCUUCGGACCUCACGCUAUCAGAUGAGCCUAGGUCAGAUUAGCUAGUUGGUGGGGUAAAGGCCUACCAAGGCGACGAUCCAUAACUGGUCUGAGAGGAUGAUCAGUCACACUGGAACUGAGACACGGUCCAGACUCCUACGGGAGGCAGCAGUGGGGAAUAUUGGACAAUGGGCGAAAGCCUGAUCCAGCCAUGCCGCGUGUGUGAAGAAGGUCUUCGGAUUGUAAAGCACUUUAAGUUGGGAGGAAGGGCAGUAAGUUAAUACCUUGCUGUUUUGACGUUACCAACAGAAUAAGCACCGGCUAACUUCGUG
rnacentral:rRNA from 1 species